rnacentral:snRNA from 13 species
ACACUUGUCUGACUGGGAGACCUUCUGAUCAGGAAGGUGGUUUUCAAGAGUGAGUGUCACCACUAGCACUUCAGAUAGGCUGACUCCUGCAAUUUCCUCAGAUCCAGGGAACUUUACUGUAAAAUUUGCAAUGUGGGAGACUGUUUUUGUUCUUUUUCCCA